CUUGGACCUACAAUUCGUAACUCCUGUCAUAAAGAUACCAAAAUCCUUGCUCUUGAUGACCAUAGAUUUACGAUUGCCACUGAUUUUUAUGACAUAAUCAGAGACCAUCCUAAAGUGUUGGACUACAUUGAUGGAUUAGCUCUCCAUUGGUACUAUGACAAGGACGUACCGGUUCAGACUCUCCAGAAAUUUCAGCAGAACUAUCCAAACUUAUUUACAUUAUCCACUGAAGCAUGUGAAGGAUACCAGUCGUAUGCAAAGAAGAAAGUAGAUCUAGGAUCGUGGCAGAGAGCUGAAAAUUAUAUUAAAGAU